rnacentral:rRNA from 1 species
UCAAACGGUGAAUUCAUGCAGAAGUUUGAUGGUUGCAGGGUGGAAAAUAUAAUUACUUCAUCCUCUGAUCAUUAUACGAUCUUAAUUAGUAUUGCAAAAGGUGGAUUUCAGUCAGAACCUCAACCAGUUCGAAGCAACUUAAGAUUUGAGGCGGCAUGGUUGAGGGCUCCAGAUUACUUGGAGAUGGUGCAUGAAAAAUGGGCGACCCUUAAAGAAGGCCCACCAUCCCUUAGGAACACUUGGAAUACUUUAAAUAGAAUGUCCAACUCUCUACAAAUCUGGAGCAGGAAUUCCUUUGGGUCUAUAAAAAAGGAGAUAAAGAAGUUAGAGAAAAGGUCGGCUGCUAUUCGGAAAGGCAACAAUGGGCCAUACUAAUCUCAAGAGGAGAAGAAUAUUUAAAAUAAACUACGUGAAAUGUUUGAAAGGGAAGAAAUAAGGGCCCGGCAACGGUCAAGAAUAGAAUGGCUCAAGGAAGGGGACAGAAAUACCUCCUUUUUUCAUGCAAGAGCCUCGGCAAGGAGAAGAGUUAAUAGAAUCAAUUUUCUGCGAAAAACUGAUGGUACCUUUUGUGAAGAUCAAAAAGGCAUCCAAAACAUGGUUCAUGACUACUAUGUGAAUCUUUUCUCAUUUGAACCAUGCACAUAUAUGGAUGCUAUCUUUGAUGCCAUUCCUGUCAAAGUGAACGAGCAGAUGAAUGAGAUUCUUGGCCAAGAGUAUACUAAUGAGGAAAUCAAGUCAGCUUUGUUUCAAAUGGGCCCUACCAAGGCUCUAGGGCCGGAUGGUUUCCCAACCAUCUUUUACCAACAACACUAG